rnacentral:lncRNA from 1 species
GAGGAGAAAAAGCUAUUGGUGUAUGAAGCCCUAGAGUAUGCAAAAAGAGCACUAGAAAAAAAUGAAUCAAGUUUUGCAUCUCAUAAGUGGUAUGCAAUCUGCCUUAGUGAUGUUGGAGAUUAUGAAGGCAUCAAGGCUAAAAUUGCAAAUGCAUAUAUCAUCAAGGAGCAUUUUGAGAAAGCAAUUGAACUGAACCCUAAAGAUGCUACUUCAAUUCACCUUAUGGGUAUUUGGUGCUAUACAUUUGCCGAAAUGCCUUGGUAUCAAAGAAGAAUUGCUAAAAUGCUGUUUGCAACUCCUCCUAGUUCCACCUAUGAGAAGGCCUUAGGCUACUUUCACAGGGCAGAACAAGGAAAGACAUACUUGAAACUACACAACAAAAAGCUUGCUGCUUUCUGGCUAAUGAAAGCCAAGGACUAUCCAGCACACACAGAGGAGGAUAAACAGAUACAGACAGAAGCUGCUCAGUUGCUUACAAGUUUCAGUGAGAAGAAUUGAGAACUUUUCAGAGAAGAUUUAUGAAAUAGCUAAUAAACAUUGCCUUUUCUUUUAAUUCU